rnacentral:tRNA from 1 species
GCGCUCGUCGGCAUUGGUGCAACGGCUUUCGCUCAAAACGAAAGUGCUGGGAGUUCGAAUCUCCCCGGGCGUACCA